UCGAUUUGGGAUUCAAGAUAAACCGGUGACUUGGGACACCAAAAGCCAAACCUUUCCCAGGUGGCGACUCUGAAUUUAAUAAAUAAUCUCAUUUCGAAUAUUGUCACUUAAAUUGAAAAAACUCCCCCGCGCAUUUUACCCUUCGGGGCGGGCGCGCAAAAAAGAGGUGUGACAUAGUGAAGGAAACCCCACUCGUUUCUCAAAAAAGUAAAAACAUUUCAUUAGUCUCGGCAUCUGCCUCAUUAAAUUCAUCACAAGAACCCUUACAGCCAAAAGUUGAUUAGUGUCAUUAUUUCAAAAUAAAAUUAUUAGUGAUAGGAAAUGAAAGUAUUCUAGUAAAGGAAAUAUAGCAUGAACAAAAAGAGAUUUUCCAAUUGAGAAAUUUGAGCCAACAUAAUCUUAAACUUAAUCACACAAGCAGCGUCAGGUAUAUUAGAAGUUCUAUUUCAGACGAUCUCAUGCUGAGCUGUCGAUCUUGAAAAGCCAUCUUUUGAUUACUUUCUCAAGUUCUUAAACUAAGAAGUCGAGGUACAAUUUUGAAUUAUCUUGUGUCUUCCCGCUACACCGAUUAAUAAAAGGAAAAGGUAUGUGCUAACAUACUUGUGCUUCAAUUCUUGCAUAUUCAAAGUUAAGAACAUCUCGAGGAACCAUGAUCUCCACGGUAGUGUUGGUCACAAUAGCAUGUAUGCUUUCACUGCAAGCAAUAGAAAAUGCAACCAGCUGAUGAAUACAACAAAGAAACAACUUGGGUUUUGAGAUAAUUUCAGAUACUCUUUUCUUCAAACAUGUGCAACUCCAAUGUCAAAUCAAGCUAAUAAGAAGCGUAACAUUACCAUCAGGAUGGAUCCUUCUAAGCUAGGCACAAAGCUUUUACUCACGUUCUGUUUAUCAAAGUUUGAACUUCCUAAGCAAUAAUAAUUAACCACUUAAUGCUUUUUUUCCUAACAGAUUUAUUCUUAUAAAAAUCAAAUGUAGAUUGAGACAUUAAAUAAUUUCUUGGGUAAUUAAUUAAAUGAAAGAAAAAUUAGCAAGAGAAAAAAAUUUGAAAGGUGGAAAUAAUCCAUAAUAUCACAAGAACCACUAUUCGUCGCCCAUGUUUAUAAAGUUCUCAAAUUUUUUUCUCCUCUUCCUUUAUCUCAGAAUUCACAAGACAAAGGCAAAUGAAGAGAGUUAUAAUGUCAGACUGUCAACCUUCUUUCCGAUAAUCUCUUAGGUAAAAUAAAAUGCAAAAUUUGAAAUUUUGAAGAUAAUUCUUGUUUAAGCACCUAAGAUCUGCAGUUUAGUAUCAUGUCAAUGCAAAAGGACUAAAUAUGAUCCCUGUUUUUGAAAUAUCACAUGAAGAUUGAUGACAUAUAAUGAUAUAAAGGGACCCUACUGACUAUUUGAUGGCACAAAGGUUAUCUAUUGCAUCUUGGAAAUAAUAAAAUUAUCAACCAUCAAAUACAAAUGAUAGAGCUUCAAAAAAAAAAAAAAGAAAGAAAGCUUCCGAAAACCAUAAUUUAGUCCUAAUCUCCUCCAACUAUCAAGAAGAAACCCCCCAAACCAAUUAGACCAAAUGUAAGGUAUGCUCAAAUGACUAAGAUAUGGAAGAAAUCAUUAUAUUGUCAGUUCACCUAAGCAGAUUUUAAGACUAUAAGAUAAUACAAAUAUAAUACAGAAGCAGAAAGAAAAUGAUUGAAACAAAAUUAAUGGAAAUUCAAGGUGCAUCAGCCUAUUAAAGAAUCACAUAAAAAUAAAGUAGAUCGUGAAAUUAAAUGCCUAUAUUAAAAAAUUCAAAGUAGUAAAUAAGUUAUCUGGACGAAAUGAUAAAAAAUAUUAACUUACAGGUCAACUAAGUAAAUAUAAUGGUUAGGAAACAAUUUACUAUGCAAAAGCAUAUCAAAUGAAUCAAUUUAUGAAACAUAGGACCUCAAAUUCAAACGUAUGAUACACAUUAACUUCAUUAUUAUGUAGCACAUGUUUGACAAUGCAUAAUAUUUGUUAAUAGAGGCGACCUAAUUAGAAAGUAAAUACUAACUAAAUCCCAUGUAUUAAACCAAUAUCUUAGGAUUUGAUUGCGCGCUUUCAAAUGUACAGAAAAAUAUUUAAGCAAAAGAGAUGGUAUUUGAAUCUUUAUGAUCUUUUCAUCUUCCCAGCUAAACAAAAGCUAAUUGAUGGAGCUUUGGUCUGAAGUAUUAACCAAACAACAUGUAAUAAGCUAUUGCACUAAGGCUCUUUUUAUCCCUCAACUGAGAAAUUAACAUCAAAGUAUAAAAGGAGAAAAGUUUACCACAAUGUUAAAGCUAAUACAUAACUUGGUGAGAUCAAGGCAGUGAAACACUUACAGCAAACUGAUAAAUCAACCUAGCACCAUCAGCAUUCGACUUCUUUCAUAACCCUCCUUUUUCCCCAAAAACUCUCUUGUUGGUUCUAGAAUUCUGGAAUUGGAACUGAAAUUCGCACAUACUUAAAUGGCAUAAGAAGAAAUCACCAAGGAUAUUCUGGUGUCUUUUAACCUCUAAGACCUAAGAAGUACUGAAAAUUUUCAUCGAAAAAUCAAGAUAUAACUUUUUAGCAUGGAGAAUAAGUAACAGAGAACAUAAUUUUUGGAGGAAAGGUGGAAAAUAAAUUUGAUCAAUGAAUUUGGGUGAAGAGAACCCAUGAGGAAAAAGGUCAAAAGAUGUGAGAGUGAAUCAAAAUCUGAAUUAAAGGAA
rnacentral:lncRNA from 1 species